GCCCUCCAGUUCCCUUUCCCAUUGGAUCUGAACACUGGUCGUGGUGGUCAAAAAGGAGGAAAAGUAAUGCUGAAGCUGGCCUCACAACUUUAUAGUCUGGUAUACAGCACGUGGGCUAGUUUCAAACAGGG
ensembl:snoRNA